rnacentral:rRNA from 1 species
GGGACACGUGGUAUCCUGUCUGAAUAUGGGGGGACCAUCCUCCAAGGCUAAAUACUCCUGACUGACCGAUAGUGAACCAGUACCGUGAGGGAAAGGCGAAAAGAACCCCGGCGAGGGGAGUGAAAAAGAACCUGAAACCGUGUACGUACAAGCAGUGGGAGCCUCUUAAUGGGGUGACUGCGUACCUUUUGUAUAAUGGGUCAGCGACUUAUAUUCUGUAGCAAGGUUAACCGAAUAGGGGAGCCGAAGGGAAACCGAGUCUUAACUGGGCGUUAAGUUGCAGGGUAUAGACCCGAAACCCGGUGAUCUAGCCAUGGGCAGGUUGAAGGUUGGGUAACACUAACUGGAGGACCGAACCGACUAAUGUUGAAAAAUUAGCGGAUGACUUGUGGCUGGGGGUGAAAGGCCAAUCAAACCGGGAGAUAGCUGGUUCUCCCCGAAAGCUAUUUAGGUAGCGCCUCGUGAAUUCAUCUCCGGGGGUAGAGCACUGUUUCGGCAAGGGGGUCAUCCCGACUUACCAACCCGAUGCAAACUGCGAAUACCGGAGAAUGUUAUCACGGGAGACACACGGCGGGUGCUAACGUCCGUCGUGAAGAGGGAAACAACCCAGACCGCCAGCUAAGGUCCCAAAGUCAUGGUUAAGUGGGAAACGAUGUGGGAAGGCCCAGACAGCCAGGAUGUUGGCUUAGAAGCAGCCAUCAUUUAAAGAAAGCGUAAUAGCUCACUGGUCGAGUCGGCCUGCGCGGAAGAUGUAACGGGGCUAAACCAUGCACCGAAGCUGCGGCAGCGACACUAUGUGUUGUUGGGUAGGGGAGCGUUCUGUAAGCCUGUGAAGGUGGCCUGUGAGGGUUGCUGGAGGUAUCAGAAGUGCGAAUGCUGACAUAAGUAACGAUAAAGCGGGUGAAAAGCCCGCUCGCCGGAAGACCAAGGGUUCCUGUCCAACGUUAAUCGGGGCAGGGUGAGUCGACCCCUAAGGCGAGGCCGAAAGGCGUAGUCGAUGGGAAACAGGUUAAUAUUCCUGUACUUGGUGUUACUGCGAAGGGGGGACGGAGAAGGCUAUGUUGGCCGGGCGACGGUUGUCCCGGUUUAAGCGUGUAGGCUGGUUUUCCAGGCAAAUCCGGAAAACCAAGGCUGAGGCGUGAUGACGAGGCACUACGGUGCUGAAGCGACAAAUGCCCUGCUUCCAGGAAAAGCCUCUAAGCAUCAGGUAACAUCAAAUCGUACCCCAAACCGACACAGGUGGUCAGGUAGAGAAUACCAAGGCGCUUGAGAGAACUCGGGUGAAGGAACUAGGCAAAAUGGUGCCGUAACUUCGGGAGAAGGCACGCUGAUAUGUAGGUGAAGCGACUUGCUCGUGGAGCUGAAAUCAGUCGAAGAUACCAGCUGGCUGCAACUGUUUAUUAAAAACACAGCACUGUGCAAACACGAAAGUGGACGUAUACGGUGUGACGCCUGCCCGGUGCCGGAAGGUUAAUUGAUGGGGUUAGCGGCAACGCGAAGCUCUUGAUCGAAGCCCCGGUAAACGGCGGCCGUAACUAUAACGGUCCUAAGGU